GAAUGAUUAGCUCAGUUGGUAGAGCAUCGGAUUCCAGACCCGAAAGUCAUAGGUUCAAGUCCUGUAUCGUUCA
rfam:Thalassiosira oceanica strain CCMP1005 To_g38711, whole genome shotgun sequence.